AAGAAGAUCAAGAAAAUGAGAGGCGGAAAAAAGAAAGAACAGAGGAGAGAGAGGAAAAAAAAAAGACAACUUUUUGAGACUGGAAUUAAAACCGAGCCAUCUCCGCUCCUCCUCUGCUGCGGUGCUGGGGAUGCCAUUGACUCCAGUGCAGAGAGUAGCUUCCCCUGCUGUGAUGCUCCACUCGUUUCCUGGCCAGCCAAGAGUAAUGCUUGAGUCCUGGUGGAAGUUCAUUCAGAAUU